AAAGGAAUAGACGGGGACCCGCACAAGCGGUGGAUGAUGUGGAUUAAUUCGAUGCAACGCGAAGAACCUUACCUACCCUUGACAUGUCUGGAAUCCCGAAGAGAUUUGGGAGUGCCCGAAAGGGAACCGGAACACAGGUGCUGCAUGGCUGUCGUCAGCUCGUGUCGUGAGAUGUUGGGUUAAGUCCCGCAACGAGCGCAACCCUUGUCAUUAGUUGCUACGAAAGGGCACUCUGAUGAGACUGCCGGUGACAAACCGGAGGAAGGUGGGGAUGACGUCAAGUCCUCAUGGCCCUUACGGGUAGGGCUUCACACGUCAUACAAUGGGCGGUACAAAGGGCAGCCAACCCGCGAGGGGGAGCCAAUCCUGAAAAGCCGUUCGUAGUCCGGAUCGCAGUCUGCAACUCGACUGCGUGAAGUCGGAAUCGCUAGUAAUCGCGGAUCAGCAUGUCGCGGUGAAUACGUUCCCGGGUCUUGUACACACCGCCCGU
rnacentral:rRNA from 1 species